AAGUCUACUAUUUAAAGUACAUACACAUACUUGAUGGAGUAUUUUGCAUGCUAUGUACAGAACAUAGUUCCAAAAUGUUGGAGAACCAAACCGUAGGUUUAGUAAAUGCUAUAGUAACCCACGUUUCUGUACAAUAAAACUGCAUGGACAUGUAUUGAUUAUACAGAAGUACAAGGGCGAAAUUGAAUAAUAGACGAAGAGAUAAGGUUCGUUCUGGCCUUCCUUCCUCUCCCGUGCGGUUAGGGAUUUAUUCCCCAAAUCCAUCGCCGCCAAGGCCAGCCGAGCGCCGACGCUAGAAGGAGGAGCCGCGCUGGAGGGCUUCUUUCCUUCACGCGCCGGAAGGCGUCACCAUGCCGUGCACCGGCUGUUGGCCGCUGCCACCGCUGUGCGUUAGGCGGCGAGCGCCGUGCUUGGAGCAGCCUGGCUGAAGGAUGCAGCCACAGUGUAGCCGUCCCGCGAGGAACUUGGCCGAGGAGGCAUCUUCCGGGCCAUGGGUCGUCAUUGGAGCUUGCCUUGGACAACAUUGAUACGCCGUCCUGGAGGGAUGCAUGAUCUUCUUUGCCGUGAAGAUGGAGGGGCUGUUGAGACUGCCGGAGAUGCUGCCUCGAUUCUUGCCCGGAUGGUACCAUUCAUGGCUUGACGCUGAAGAUUCCGUAGCCGGACGACCGCCACGCUCCGGUCGUAUUGCCACCAGAUGCGAGAGAUAGCCUCGACGCCUCGCUGCUGUUAGGCUGCCUCCCCGUCGCUUUCUUCUUGUGUUGUGUUGGCCAAAACACUCUCGGAUACGAGCGUGCUGAUAACGUUUUAAAAGUAAACGAGAGAGAGAGAAGCGAAUGAUUGAAAAUGAACAGUCUUCUCAUUGAUGAAUGUUGGGGUAUUUAUACCCAGUACAA